rnacentral:rRNA from 1 species
AUCCAGCCAUACCGCGUGUGUGAAGAAGGCUUUCGGGUUGUAAAGCACUUUAAGUAAGGAGGAAAAGAUUGUAGUUAAUACCUGCAGUCCGUGACGUUACUUACAGAAUAAGGACCGGCUAAUUCCGUGCCAGCAGCCGCGGUAAUACGGAAGGUCCAAGCGUUAAUCGGAAUUACUGGGCGUAAAGCGCGCGUAGGUGGUUUUUUAAGUUGGAUGUGAAAGCCCUGGGCUCAACCUAGGAACUGCAUCCAAAACUAGAUGACUAGAGUACGAAAGAGGGAAGUAGAAUUCACAGUGUAGCGGUGGAAUGCGUAGAUAUUGUGAAGAAUACCAAUGGCGAAGGCAGCUUCCUGGUUCUGUACUGACACUGAGGUGCGAAAGCGUGGGUAGCGAACAGGAUUAGAUACCCUGGUAGUCCACGCCGUAAACGAUGACAACUAGCUGUUGGGAGACAAGAUCUCUCAGUGGCGCAGCUAACGCUUUAAGUUGUCCGCCUGGGGAGUACGGCCGCAAGGUUAAAACUCAAAUGAAUUGACGGGGACCCGCACAAGCGGUGGAGCAUGUGGUUUAAUUCGAUGCAACGCGAAAAACCUUACCUACUCUUGACAUACUUGGAAGCUCUUGUAAUGAGAGUGUGCUUUUAGAGCCAAGAUACAGGUGCUGCAUGGCUGUCGUCAGCUCGUGUCGUGAGAUGUUGGGUUAAGUCCCAUAACGAGCGCAACCCUUACCCUUAUUUGCCAGCGGUUCGGCCGGGAACUAUAAGGGGACUGCCGGUGACAAACCGGAGGAAGGUGAGGACGACGUCAAGUCAUCAUGGCCCUUACGAGUAGGGCUACACACGUGCUACAAUGGGGAAUACAGACGGACGCUAAAGCGUGAGCUGGUGCUAAUCCUAAAAAAUUUCUCGUAGUCCGGAUUGCAGUCUGCAACUCGACUGCAUGAAGUCGGAAUCGCUAGUAAUCGCGAAUCAGCAUGUCGCGGUGAAUACGUUCUCGGGUCUUGUACACACCGCCCGUCACACCAUGGAAGUGUGUUGCACCAGAAGUAG